CCCCCCUCCUUCUUGAGUUGCUAUAUUUUUGGGCAGCACAACAUGAUGCAUCAUUAUCAUAAUCCUCUCGAUAAAAAAGUCAAAUCAACCAACUCAAGGAAGAAAGAUUCUAGCCAUCUUAUGGUGUAAUAUUCUCAUCUCAACUGAUAAAUGGCUUACAAGGAUCUCUUCAAAGGCAACUAUGUCUUCUCUUUCUAAAAUUAAUUUUGACCCACUUCACUGAUCUUCAAGUCUAUCAGUUCCAUCAAUAGAUACCUUAAGAAUACGAUCGAGGU
rnacentral:lncRNA from 1 species